AGAAUGAACGCUGGCGGCGUGCUUAACACAUGCAAGUCGUGCGCGAAAGUGGCUUCGGCCAUGAGUAGAGCGGCGAACGGGUGAGUAACACGUGGACAACCUGCCUCGGUGCGGGGGAUAACCUGGGGAAACCUGGGCUAAUACCGCAUACGCUGUUCGGGCUUCGGCCUGUUCAGGAAAGCUGGCCUCUGCUUGCAAGCUGGCGCGCUGAGAGGGGUCCGCGGCUGAUUAGCUAGUUGGUGAGGUAACGGCUCACCAGGGCGACGAUCAGUAGCCGGCCUGAGAGGGUGAUCGGCCACACUGAGACUGAGACACGGCCCAGACUCCUACGGAGCAGCAGUGGGAAUGUGGACAAGUGGCGCAAGCUGAUCCAGCAACGCGCGUGGAGGAAGAAGAUCUCGAUACGUAAACUCC
rnacentral:rRNA from 1 species